rnacentral:tRNA from 1 species
GGCCCGCUGGCCAAAUGGUAAGGCGCCAGAUUUCGGAAACGGAAAUUACUCUGGAGAUUGCGCGUUCGAGCCGCGCGUGGGUCG